rnacentral:rRNA from 1 species
UACGUAGGCAGCAAGCGUUGUUCGGAAUUACUGGGCGUAAAGAGUGUGUAGGCGGUGCUCCAAGUCUGGUGUGAAAUCUCCCGGCUCAACCGGGAGGGUGCGCCGAAUACUGAGGGGCUCGAGUGCGGGAGAGGAAAGUGGAAUUCCUGGUGUAGCGGUGAAAUGCGUAGAUAUCAGGAGGAACACCGGUGGUGUAGACGGCUUUCUGGACCGUAACUGACGCUGAGGCACGAAAGCGUGGGUAGCAAACAGG